GGCCGCCCUCUCUGGUCCUUCA
rnacentral:miRNA from 1 species